UGUGUGUGUGUGUGUGUGUGUGUGUGGCAUCUUCAUCCCAGGUAAAAACCCUGAGAACCCAAUCACCAGUCUGUUUGCUUGCAACCUUCAGAACAGAAACAGCUUCUUUUUACACAUAAAAAAAGAAACUUCAUUAAGAAAAAAAGUUUUAUACCUUGUUUCUUGAUUGUCAUUUUACACAUUUACCCUGUCGCUGGUUUUAAAAACAACAACCUCAUCUGUCAUUUCGCUUUUUCCAAAGUGGAACAUCACUUUGUGUAUAUGACAAAGUUGUCAUUUGGGAAAGUUAAAGUAAAACAUAUGUGCAGUAAAUUAUUGUUAGUUGAAACCACAAACCAAUGCUGUCACACUGAAGAACUUUCAAAUGCACUAAAGUACACUCUUGUCUUCCUGCUUAUUAGCUUCUACAUUGAGAAAAGCAUGUUGUACAUAAGACUGUCAUGUAAUACUGAAUUAAACACUUAAGAAACUGAUCAAGAAGUAUUGCAAUGACAGAUGAUGCACUGACUGAACUGAAAAAUAUUAAUGAUGACAUCCUUCAGCUGCUCUACAGUUCAUCACCUGCUUUCACAUAGCAUAUGUUAAGGCUGCACACAGUACAGUGUCACCUGAUUUCUGACCUUUAUCCUGAGCACCUCAACAAAAACAAAUCAGGUGUGCCUUGCUGCAUCAAACACAGUAAAUGUGAUUUCUUUUCUAUAAGCAAUAUGUAUAUAUUACAGCACUGCGUUGACUGAAAAAUUGUACGUAGAAUUUUGAAAUUGCUGGGAUAUAAAUGAAAUCCGAAUGGGUUUGGGAAUCCUCAUUUAUGGACAAGUAGAAGAGUGGUCCUAAUUAUUAAAACGGCAUGUUUCGUUCAAAUCUUUCUGGACAAUCAACUGUAGCAAAAAAAGGCAUAGGAUUGUGUGGCUAUAAAGGGAAGAAAUCAUAAACACAAGUUCUAAUAAUUUGUGUUCUGACUUAAAUCAACCAAACCACUGUUUCUCUGCACUUCUGUUUGCUCUGUCCUGUGUUAACGUUGGAUCUGUGAAAUGUUUGUAAAUUGUACCACCUGUGGAUUAAAGUUUGCAUUUCCAUCCUU